rnacentral:rRNA from 1 species
UACGAGGGGAGCUAGCGUUGUUCGGAAUCACUGGGCGUAAAGCGCACGUAGGCGGAUGUGUCAGUCAGAGGUGGAAUCCCGGAGCUCAACUUCGGAACUGCCUUUGAUACAGCACGUCUUGAGUCCGAUAGAGGUGGGUGGAAUUCCUAGUGUAGAGGUGAAAUUCGUAGAUAUUAGGAAGAACACCGGUGGCGAAGGCGGCCCACUGGAUCGGUACUGACGCUGAGGUGCGAAAGCGUGGGGAGCAAACAGG